rnacentral:rRNA from 1 species
GACGAACGCUGGCGGCGUGCUUAACACAUGCAAGUCGAACGGAAAGGCCCUGCUUUUGUGGGGUGCUCGAGUGGCGAACGGGUGAGUAACACGUGAGUAACCUGCCCUUGACUUUGGGAUAACUCCAGGAAACUCGGGCUAAUACCGGAUAGGAGCUCCUGCUGCAUGGGGUGGGUUGGUAAGUUUCGGCGGUUGGGUAUGGACUCGCGGCUUAUCAGCUUGUUGGUGGGGUAGUGGCUUACCAAGGCUUUGACGGGUAGCCGGCCUUAGAGGGUGACCGGCCACAUUGGGACUGCGAGACGGCGCAGAAUGCUACGGGAGGCAGCAGUGGGGAAUAUUGCAGAAUGGGGGGAAGCCUGAUGCAGCAACGCUGCGUGCGGGAUGCCGGCCUUCGGGUUGUAAACAGCUGUCGCCUGUGACGAAGAGUGAGUGACGGUAAUGGGUAAAGAAGCAACGGCUAACUACGUG